GAUGAACGCUGGCGGCGUGCCUAAUACAUGCAAGUCGAGCGAACAGACGAGGAGCUUGCUCCUCUGACGUUAGCGGCGGACGGGUGAGUAACACGUGGAUAACCUACCUAUAAGACUGGGAUAACUUCGGGAAACCGGAGCUAAUACCGGAUAAUAUAUUGAACCGCAUGGUUCAAUAGUGAAAGACGGUUUUGCUGUCACUUAUAGAUGGAUCCGCGCCGCAUUAGCUAGUUGGUAAGGUAACGGCUUACCAAGGCAACGAUGCGUAGCCGACCUGAGAGGGUGAUCGGCCACACUGGAACUGAGACACGGUCCAGACUCCUACGGGAGGCAGCAGUAGGGAAUCUUCCGCAAAGGGCGAAAGCCUGACGGAGCAACGCCGCGUGAGUGAUGAAGGUCUUCGGAUCGGAAAACUCUGUUAUUAGGGAAGAACAAAUGUGUAAGUAACUAUGCACGUCUUGACGGUACCUAAUCAGAAAGCCACGGCUAACUACGUG
rnacentral:rRNA from 1 species